GACGAACGCUGGCGGCGUGCCUAAUACAUGCAAGUAGAACGCACAGUUUAUACCGUAGCUUGCUACACCAUAGACUGUGAGUUGCGAACGGGUGAGUAACGCGUAGGUAACCUGCCUGGUAGCGGGGGAUAACUAUUGGAAACGAUAGCUAAUACCGCAUAAUAUUAAUUAUUGCAUGAUAAUUAAUUGAAAGGUGCAAUUGCACCACUACCAGAUGGACCUGCGUUGUAUUAGCUAGUAGGUGAGGUAACGGCUCACCUAGGCGACGAUACAUAGCCGACCUGAGAGGGUGAUCGGCCACACUGGGACUGAGACACGGCCCAGACUCCUACGGGAGGCAGCAGUAGGGAAUCUUCGGCAAUGGACGAAAGUCUGACCGAGCAACGCCGCGUGAGUGCAGAAGGUUUUCGGAUCGUAAAGCUCUGUUGUAAGAGAAGAACGGGUGUGAGAGUGGAAAGUUCACACUGUGACGGUAUCUUACCAGAAAGGGACGGCUAACUACGUG
rnacentral:rRNA from 1 species